UCUCAGUUGGUAAAGAAUCUGCCUGCAAUGCAGGAGACCCUGGUUCAAUUCCUGG
rnacentral:tRNA from 1 species